rnacentral:rRNA from 1 species
UGGGGAAUAUUGCACAAUGGGCGGAAGCCUGAUGCAGCGACGCCGCGUGGGGGAUGAAGGCCUUCGGGUUGUAAACUCCUUUCGACAGGGACGAAGCUUUUGUGACGGUACCUGUAUAAGAAGCACCGGCUAACUACGUGCCAGCAGCCGCGGUAAUACGUAGGGUGCGAGCGUUGUCCGGAAUUACUGGGCGUAAGAGCUCGUAGGUGGUUUGUCGCGUCGUCUGUGAAAUUCCGGGGCUUAACUCCGGGCGUGCAGGCGAUACGGGCUGACUUGAGUGCUGUAGGGGAGACUGGAAUUCCUGGUGUAGCGGUGAAAUGCGCAGAUAUCAGGAGGAACACCGAUGGCGAAGGCAGGUCUCUGGGCAGUAACUGACGCUGAGGAGCGAAAGCAUGGGUAGCGAACAGG